CUGUCUGUUGCGCUGCUCGCACGUCCCGCGGAAGCACGCACCUUAAGCUCGCGUAUUUGUAUACGCGUUCUCACGUUCGUCACCUAUAACGUCUUAUCAAUCAGGUAAAAGUAUAUUAAUUCGCAUUAUAAUAUAAAUAAAUAAAUAAAUACAAUAUAUCGGUGGCGUAUUUACGGAGUGAAAUCUAUUUCCUAUUAUUCAUAUUUAUUAGGGAAAUACAUCUCCCCCUCCCCCUUUGAAUCUAUUAAUUACACGACUGCCUAUUUUUCAAUUCAAAUUUCUUUACUUUUUAGUCGGAAAAAUAAAAAAUUUAACGUGUCGGUACCUACCAAUAUUAUAGUCAAUAACGUUAAUUUAUCACAAAAAUCUGAACGUAUACAUUUUUUGUUUAAACGAAACCCAUACAGUCCAUUAAACCAUUAAAAUACGAAUAAGUUAUAUAUAUAAUGUAUAUAUACAGGUAUAUACAGAUUUACUUAUUUAUUCGUUCGAUCGUAGGUACGCCUAAUAACUUAUAUAAUAUUUAUUUAUAUAUUUGAAUAAUUACACGUUGUUUAAUAUUAUUACUUUUUUUUAUAGAAGCCGGUAAAAUUAUUGCUCGAAUCCAGCUGAAAUAAUAUUCGUUUUUUCCGAACAUUUUAAUAUAUUGAUAGGUACGUAUUGCGUGUAUAUAUUAAUAUACCCAUCUAUAUAAUUGUAAUUAAUUUAAUCAAUUAUUAUUAUAAAAAACGAAAACACAAUUUCUAUCAUGGUUCAAAUAACAUUGCAUUUAUUUUAGUGUUUGUUUUACGAAUUUUAGGCAUGAAGGUAUUAUAAUUAAUUAAUUUGACAAAUUAUUUAAAUAAGCAGUAUAGUAUCUAUCAUUAUUAUUAUUAUUAUUAUUAUUAUUGGUCUUGAAAAUACAAAAUACAUCAUUAUAAAACCAUAAGUUUCUUCGCUCCACUCAGAAUCUAAAACACAUGAGUAAAAGAGCUCUGUCACUAGAUCCGAAUUUUCUCCCAGUUAACUUGAUGCCGUUACAAUAUUUUAUUUGUGUUAAUUUUUUGUGAUUCACUUGACACCCAUUAACAACGUCUAUCUCUUCACCCUCCCUUAAUGAUCUACUACCCUUUCCCUCUUUUACGUAAAAAACAGGUAAAGAACCACCUAUCAGGUAAUGAUACUUUCCAAACUUUAAAUCGUUUUAAAUGUAUUAAUUUAUGUUACACGAAAUAAAAUAUGUUGUUUUAUUUGUUUUAUUUUUUAUCGUUGUUUUAUUGUUUUUAUAACAGGACCGCGGUUUCGUGAUGGGUAGAAAAAACCGUCCGAGGAAAAACAAAUUCACGGCGGCCGAAGACAAUAUCAGUUUUUUGCUGUUCAUGUUCUUCUUCGUAUUCAUUUUGGCUUACGUUAUCUUCUAUUUUUUAUACUUCAGAGCUAUUUUAAUAAACCCUGAGAAUUUGAUCAAUAUGUAUUUUAUGUUCGAAUAAUUGCAUAUUUUUUUUGACAUCAUAUGCAAUUAUUGCUGCAUUUAUUUAAACACAAAAAACAACUAUAAUAACUACCUAAAUGUUUAUAUCUUAUACCUAAUACAACUGCUGUAAUGCAAUUUCAUUGUUCAAAACCUAAAUAUUAUUAUUUGAUGUUUGUUUUGUAUACAUUAAGAGAUCCAAAAUACGCGCGCGUAUGUAAAUUAAAUAUUAAUCGAUUUCUCUCUGGUUUGGAAUAAAGAACACAAAAAAAUCUUUAUUAUUUAACGAUUUUUUAAACUUUUUACGUGAACAACCUUAUGUUUUUGACUAAUUAGAAAAAAAUAAUAAUUAAAAAUCCCAACAAAAAUGGCUCAAAACUAUCAAUUUACAAAACGCUCAUUAAAGGUUCCUAAACUAUUAUACAAAUUACUAGGUAUCUUGAAUCGGCAUUUUCUAUACAUAUUUUAUUUUUUCUUGAUAACAUAUUUCAAAUUAAUAGUUCAAUACAAAUAAUAAUGUUAUUACUUUUUUUUGUUGCUGUUUGAACAAAAACAAUUUUACGUUAUCUAAUAUAUGCGUUGUACCGUUUUAUUAAAGCCGAAACUUUAUACGCAUAAAAACACAAACAAAGGAUAGCUGGGGGUGCCAAGUCCCCUCUCAAAAUCAACCGUAAAUCUACCUCUUCGAAAAAUGUAUUUAUAAUACGAUAAUAUAUUAAAUUGACGUUUUUUUAUUUAAUAAAAUAAUUAAGUAAAAACAAAAUUAUUAAAAUAUAGUUUAUGCUCAUAAAUAAAUAAAGUAAAUAAAUAUAUAAAUAAAAAAUGUAUACAUAAAAAUAUAAUAAAUAAAUGAAUCAAUACGUCGCCUGGAGUAAACUGAUGAUGAAUUUUUAAUUCGAAAUCGGUCGUAUAAUCGUAUACACUUAUACAUCUGAUAUCACUUAUCAUAAUACUUCAGGCGACACAUUGAUUCGUUUAUUUUAUUUUUAUUUAUAUAUUUAUUUACUUUGUUUUUUUAUUUGUUUUGCUCAAAAUUAUGACUUACGAGCCGAGACCAUUUUUUUUGUUCAUUAACCAAUUUUUUGGUCGAAAUUUUCACACACAAAGUUCAAACCGCUAUUUGUGUCUAUGCCAUUGUCAAUCCGAGCGUUUGAAAUCGUUAAUAAUAAUAGUUAUUAAUUAUUCUAAGCCCACGUUUUAAAAAAAACUUUUAUAAUUAUAAUUUUUUUUUUUUUUAAUAGGUAAUCAUAACAAUGUAUAAUUAUUCAAAGUAAUAUUAUUUUACAAUUAUUUCUCUGUAGUUACCCCUUUAUACUGUACCUAUGUUUAUCAUCUAUGUAUACUGUCUAUAAUUAUAUAAUAUAG
rnacentral:lncRNA from 1 species